GAGCAAACAGGAUUAGAUACCCUGGUAGUCCACGCCGUAAACGAUGUCGACUUGGAGGUUGUGCCCUUGAGGCGUGGCUUCCGGAGCUAACGCGUUAAGUCGACCGCCUGGGGAGUACGGCCGCAAGGUUAAAACUCAAAUGAAUUGACGGGGGCCCGCACAAGCGGUGGAGCAUGUGGUUUAAUUCGAUGCAACGCGAAGAACCUUACCUGGUCUUGACAUCCACGGAAGUUUUCAGAGAUGAGAAUGUGCCUUCGGGAACCGUGAGACAGGUGCUGCAUGGCUGUCGUCAGCUCGUGUUGUGAAAUGUUGGGUUAAGUCCCGCAACGAGCGCAACCCUUAUCCUUUGUUGCCAGCGGUCCGGCCGGGAACUCAAAGGAGACUGCCAGUGAUAAACUGGAGGAAGGUGGGGAUGACGUCAAGUCAUCAUGGCCCUUACGACCAGGGCUACACACGUGCUACAAUGGCGCAUACAAAGAGAAGCGACCUCGCGAGAGCAAGCGGACCUCAUAAAGUGCGUCGUAGUCCGGAUUGGAGUCUGCAACUCGACUCCAUGAAGUCGGAAUCGCUAGUAAUCGUGGAUCAGAAUGCCACGGUGAAUACGUUCCCGGGCCUUGUACACACCGCCCGUCACACCAUGGGAGUGGGUUGCAAAAGAAGUAGGUAGCUUAACCUUCGGGAGGGCGCUUACCACUUUGUGAUUCAUGACUGGGGUGAAGUCGUAACAAGGUAACCGUAGGGGAACCUGCGGUUGGAUCACCUCCUU
rnacentral:rRNA from 1 species